rnacentral:rRNA from 1 species
UGAGAGGUUGAACGGCCACAUUGGGACUGAGACACGGCCCAAACUCCUACGGGAGGCAGCAGUAGGGAAUUUUCGGCAAUGGAGGAAACUCUGACCGAGCAACGCCGCGUGAACGAUGAAGUAUUUCGGUACGUAAAGUUCUUUUAUUAGGGAAGAAUAAAUGAUGGAAAAAUCAUUCUGACGGUACCUAAUGAAUAAGCCCCGGCUAACUAUGUGCCAGCAGCCGCGGUAAUACAUAGGGGGCAAGCGUUAUCCGGAAUUAUUGGGCGUAAAGGGUGCGUAGGCGGUUAAAUAAGUUUAUGGUCUAAGUGCAAUGCUUAACAUUGUGAUGCUAUAAAAACUGUUUAGCUAGAGUAAGAUAGAGGCAAGUGGAAUUCCAUGUGUAGUGGUAAAAUGCGUAAAUAUAUGGAGGAACACCAGUAGCGAAGGCGGCUUGCUGGGUCUUUACUGACGCUGAGGCACGAAAGCGUGGGGAGCAAACAGGAUUAGAUACCCUGGUAGUCCACGCCGUAAACGAUGAGUACUAAAUGUUGGGUAAAACCAGUGUUGAAGUUAACACAUUAAGUACUCCGCCUGAGUAGUACGUACGCAAGUAUGAAACUUAAAGGAAUUGACGGGACUCCGCACAAGCGGUGGAUCAUGUUGUUUAAUUCGAAGGUACCCGAAAAACCUCACCAGGUCUUGACAUGCUUCUGCAAAGCUGUAGAAACACAGUGGAGGUUAUCAGUUGCACAGGUGGUGCAUGGUUGUCGUCAGCUCGUGUCGUGAGAUGUUGGGUUAAGUCCCGCAACGAGCGCAACCCUUAUUGUUAGUUGCCAGCACGUAAUGGUGGGGACUUUAGCAAGACUGCCAGUGAUAAAUUGGAGGAAGGUGGGGACGACGUCAAAUCAUCAUGCCCCUUAUGACCUGGGCUACAAACGUGAUACAAUG